rnacentral:rRNA from 1 species
GAUCAUGGCUCAGGACGAACGCUGGCGGCGCGCCUAACACAUGCAAGUCGAACGAGCGAGAGAGAGCUUGCUUUCUCGAGCGAGUGGCGAACGGGUGAGUAUCGCGUGAGGAACCUGCCUCAAAGAGGGGGACAACAGUUGGAAACGACUGCUAAUACCGCAUAAGCCCACAGCUCGGCAUCGAGCAGAGGGAAAAGGAGCAAUCCGCUUUGAGAUGGCCUCGCGUCCG